rnacentral:rRNA from 1 species
GAUGAACGCUGGCGGCGUGCUUAACACAUGCAAGUCGAACGGAAAGGCCCUGCUUUUGUGGGGUGCUCGAGUGGCGAACGGGUGAGUAACACGUGAGUAACCUGCCCUUGACUUUGGGAUAACUUCAGGAAACUGGGGCUACUACCGGAUAGGAGCUCAUGCUGCAUGGUGGGGGUUGGAAAGUUUCGGCGGUUGUGGAUGGACGCGCGGCUUAUCAGCUUGUUGGUUGGGUAGUUGCUUACCAACGGAUUGACGGGUAGCCGGCCUGAGAGCGUGACCGGGGACAAUGGGCCUACGAGACGCAGCAGUGGCGAACAGGGGACAGUGGGGGCAAGUAUGAUACAGUGAGCGCAAGUGUGUGAAGGAAACGUUGGGUUCGUGAUGACGGCCUUCUGGGUAUGAACCGCUGUAGCUUGUUACGAAGCGGUAGUGACGGUAAUGAGUAAAGAAGCACCGGCUAACUACGUG